rnacentral:tRNA from 1 species
UGUGAUGUAGCUCAGUGGUAGAACACUUACGUAGCAUGUGUGAGGCACUGGGUUCAAGCCCCAGAACCACAA